UAUUAAGUAUCUUAAAAUAAAAAGUAAUGAUUUUUUAAAUCAUUUAUAGUAUAAUUAAAUAAAAAUACUCUUAAUAA
rnacentral:tRNA from 1 species